rnacentral:rRNA from 1 species
UACAGAGGGGGCGAGCGUUGUUCGGAAUUACUGGGCGUAAAGGGCGCGUAGGCGGCCUUCUAAGUCGAACGUGAAAUCCCCGGGCUCAACCCGGGAACUGCGUCCGAUACUGGGAGGCUUGAAUCCGGGAGAGGGAGGUGGAAUUCCAGGUGUAGCGGUGAAAUGCGUAGAUAUCUGGAGGAACACCGGUGGCGAAGGCGGCAUCCUGGACCAAUAUUGACGCUGAGGAGCGAAAGCCAGGGGAGCAAACGGG